CUUAAGCGUAGUGUUCCAUAUUGUUUCAAUGGUCUCGUGGUUGUAAUUAUAUAUCACUCGAAAGGCUUUUAAUCUGGAAUGUUCCCGUUAUAUAAUAUUUCAAAAAUGUAUGUUUAUUUUAACAUUUAUAUCUCUAUAAAACCUUUGAUUUUAUUUCGAAUGUUGUUGUCUAGGAGCAGUAUUUUUGACAUACAUUUGAAGUAGGUACUUGGUCUGAAUUAUCGAAUUAAAAAAAUAUCUGCAUAUGAGAGAAGGUACAAUCGAAAUACAUAGUUUAUAGAGUUUAUUGCUGUUUACUCUCAAUGUAAAUAUUUUACACAUGACUAUACUAUGACGAUAUGUACGAUAUUUUAAACAGUUCUGUACCUAGGUGCAAUAGCAGCUCGGUACUGGUUAAAGUCUAUCAUGAUAACGCUUUGUCAUACUAUCUACAUAUUCUUAUUUUUAAUGAUUAGGUUAUUAGUUUUAGACUCGUUUAAAUGUACAUUGAAAUUCCUAGUCAAUAAUAUAACUCUACGUCGACUAAAUAACUUGUUCAAUCAAUUAUUCACAAUAUAUUCAAAGUGAUCUAUAUAUUUUGAUGGUAUGAUGAAUUAAGUGCAAAUUUUAAUGUAUUGUAUGUAGGCAUGGAUAUGCCAGAUAUCUAGAUUUUGUUUUCAAACUUUAAGUGUGCCUAAUCUGUACAUUAAUCUUCAUUAACAGCCGUUAAUGUAAAUAUCUAUUAUGUUCUUAGCAACUUUGCGUUUUUAAGCUUUAGUCAUUUUCUUAAUUGAUUUGUAAGACUCUUAUCGAAUUAUUUUCGUGUAUGCUAGUAUCCCGGUACUUUGAAGGGAGGUAUUUUACUUUUCAUUUAAGUUAGUAAUUAAAAUUGUUUGAUCUUUUACUAUCAACCUAAGUGCUCAUAUAUCGUAUAUUUGUGUAAAAUUAAUCAUAUUAAAGUGUUAUGCAUUGA